UCACAGAGGUCAUAACCUGAUCCAGUCCCAUGUGAUGCCCACAUUCCCCUUGCUGGAGAGAACUUGGAGAAGACUUGACUGCAAGCUUGUCCAAAAGUUGAGUUUAUCCCAAAAUGCUUAGCUCUGACUCAGGCCUCCUGAUUUUUCCUUCCUGACAGAUAUGUUUCCAGCACAUGGAAGGUGGUGACAGCUCACAUGGCUUCCAGGUGCCCAGAUCUUCUCCAGCCAGCCAGCACCCUCUUCCUUCUUUCCUGGCCAGAGUUUACUUCCAAGUGGCUGCUCUGGUGUGGACAGUCUAGGAUGAGGCAUUAGGGCUCGCAUCUGAGAAGUUGACAUCAAGCAGACAGCAAGACAUGAUAUCUUAUUUUCCUGAGCCAUGCUGACACAAACUGAACUCCCCUUAUUAUUUUCUUAUGUCAGUAAAGUUGCACUUGGAAUUUAAGCAUUUUGUGUGCAGAUGUUAAGAGCCGGG
rnacentral:lncRNA from 1 species